GACGAACGCUGGCGGCGUGCUUAACACAUGCAAGUCGAACGGAAAGGCCCUGCUUUUGUGGGGUGCUCGAGUGGCGAACGGGUGAGUAACACGUGAGUAACCUGCCCUUGACUUUGGGAUAACUUCAGGAAACUGGGGCUAAUACCGGAUAGGAGCUCCUGCUGCAUGGUGGGGGUUGGAAAGUUUCUGCGGUUGGGGAUGGACUCGCGGCUUAUCAGCUUGUUGGUGGGGUAGUGGCUUACCAAGGCUUUGACGGGUAGCCGGCCUGAGAGGGUGACCGGCGACCUUGGGACUGCGAUACGGCCCAGACUGCUACGGGAGGCAGCAGUGGGGAAUAUUGCACAAUGGGCGGAAGCCUGAUGCAGCGACGCCGCGUGCGGGAUGACGGCCUUCGGGUUGUAAACCGCUUUAGCCUGUGACGAAGCGUGAGUGACGGUAAUGGGUAAAGAAGCACCGGCUAACUACGUG
rnacentral:rRNA from 1 species